rnacentral:rRNA from 1 species
AGAUAAUGACGGUACCCGAAGAAKAAGCCCCGGCUAACUUCGUGCCAGCAGCCGCGGUAAUACGWAGGGUGCGAGCGUUUUUCGGAAUUACUGGGCGUAAAGCGCGCGCAGGCGGCUUUGUAAGUCAGAUGUGAAAUCCCGGGGCUCAACCUGGGAACUGCMUUUGAGACUGCAAGUCUAGAGUGCGGSAGAGGKGAGUGGAAUUCCGAGUGUAGCGGUGAAAUUCGUAGAUAUGCGGAGGAACACCGGUGGCGAAGGCRGCUCCCUGGCMCGACACUGACGCUGAGGCACGAAAGCGUGGGGAGCAAACAGGAUUAGAUACCCUGGUAGUCCACGCCCUAAACGAUGU